rnacentral:rRNA from 1 species
GAUGAACGCUAGCGGCAGGCUUAACACAUGCAAGUCGAGGGGUAUAGGUUUUCGGACCUAGAGACCGGCGCACGGGUGCGUAACGCGUAUGCAAUCUACCUUGUACAGGGGGAUAGCCCAGAGAAAUUUGGAUUAAUACCCCAUAGUAUUAUAGAAUGGCAUCAUUUUAUAAUUGAAGUUCCAACGGUACAAGAUGAGCAUGCGUCCCAUUAGCUAGUUGGUAUGGUAACGGCAUACCAAGGCUACGAUGGGUAGGGGUCCUGAGAGGGAGAUCCCCCCCACUGGUACUGAGAAACGGACCAGACGCCUACGGGAGGCAGCAGUGAGGAAUAUUGGUCAAUGGACGCAAGUCUGAACCAGCCAUGCCGCGUGCAGGAUGACGGUCCUAUGGAUUGUAAACUGCUUUUGUACAGGAAGAAACACUCCUACGUGUAGGAACUUGACGGUACUGUAAGAAUAAGGAUCGGCUAACUCCGUGCCAGCCGCCGCCGUAA